CUACGGGGUGCACCAGUGGGGAAUAUUGCACAAUGGACGAAAGUCUGAUGCAGCAACGCCGCGUGGAGGAUGACACAUUUCGGUGCGUAAACUCCUUUUAUAGGUCAAGAUAAUGACGGUAGCCUAUGAAUAAGCGCCGGCUAACUCCGUGCCAGCAGCCGCGGUAAUACGGAGGGCGCAAGCGUUACUCGGAAUCACUGGGCGUAAAGAGCGUGUAGGCGGGUUAAUAAGUCAGAAGUGAAAUCCAAUGGCUCAACCAUUGAACUGCUUUUGAAACUGUUAACCUAGAGUAUGGGAGAGGUAGAUGGAAUUUCUGGUGUAGGGGUAAAAUCCGUAGAGAUCAGAAGGAAUACCGAUUGCGAAGGCGAUCUACUGGAACAUUACUGACGCUGAGACGCGAAAGCGUGGGGAGCAAACAGGAUUAGAUACCCUUGUAGUC
rnacentral:rRNA from 1 species